rnacentral:rRNA from 1 species
GACGAACGCUGGCGGCGUGCUUAACACAUGCAAGUCGAACGGAAAGGCCCUGCUUUUGUGGGGUGCUCGAGUGGCGAACGGGGGAGUAACACGUGUGUAACCUGCCCUUGACUUUGGGAUAACUUCAGGAAACUCGGGCUAAUAUCGGAUAGGAGCUCCUGCUGCAUGGUGGGGGUUGGAAAGUUUCGGCGGUUGGGGAUGGACUCGCGGCUUAUCAGCUUGUUGGGGGGGUAGUGGCUUACCAAGGCUUUGACGGGUAGCCGGCCUGAGAGGGUGACCGGCCACAUUGGGACUGAGAUACGGCCCAGACUCCUACGGGAGGCAGCAGUGGGGAAUAUUGCACAAUGGGCGGAAGCCUGAUGCAGCAACGCCGCGUGCGGGAUGACGGCCUUCGGGUUGUAAACCGCUUUCGCCUGUGACGAAGCGUGAGUGACGGUAAUGGGUAAAGAAGCACCGGCUAACUACGUG